UUUUUUUUUUCCUUUCUAAUCUAAUCACCCCCUGAUUUUAAGGGUGGGGCCGGGCGUUAUUUUGUUCCAAUCAAAUAAAGCCACGUACGCGGGAGCACGGAUGGGCACACGCCCGGGGAGCAGGCGUGUGUGGGCAAAGAUCUAUACUAUAUAUGGCAGUAUACUAUGGGCGUGUUUGGUUGCCCGCAUUAGGCCCAGCCUGGCCCGCGCGGAAAGAAAGUGGCCCGUUUGGUUGCCUGUGUCUACUGUGCGGCCCGCAUGGCACGAACCUUAAAGCACACUUGGGCCUAACUCGCUGGGAACACUCAGACGACAGUUUCUAGCGAGCCAGGCUUAGACGAGCGCACAAGGUGGGCCACUUGCACGAGGAGAGAUGGGUGGGAUACGAGCUGGUAUGCAGCCUGUGUGUGCUUAUCUUCUCCUACCUCCAAUAACCUUCCCUCUAAUUCUAUUCUUCCUAGCCCCUUCCGAUCUACACAACAGUGUUUCGAUUCGAGGUAAGCUCUACACGAAAAAGAUGCACCUCGAUGCUACGGUUCCAUUUAGGCGAUUGGUUCGUAGUUUCGUCGGUCGUAAAUUCUUAAUUUCAUCUUCCCGUUUGAAGCUGUUCUUGACGAAUUUUGUCAGAUUCGUUGCGCACGAUCGAUCGUUUGAAAUUUCCUUUGACCAGCAGCCUAAUCUCCCAGUUCCUCACAACAUCCGUGUUAUAAGUUUUUGGUUUCGACGAUCGUAGCUUCAUCUCUCUUUGAGCAGCAGUCUAAUGCACGGACGCCGCCAUGUCGAGCUCCUCUGUCCUCUGCUCAAAGCCCUCCUAUUCGUCCCUCUCAACGCCGAAGCCUUUCCUCUUGAUCUCCUUGCCCACGUCCUACUACACUAGAGUCGUUUCCGGCGUCGCUCAUCUCGGCCUACUCUCUGUUGUCCUCCUACUGCACUGACGUUGCAAUGGCGCGCACACUGCUUUCUUGUGUCCUCUGCCUCCGUGCACACUGCAGUUCGCCGCGCCGCCGACGGGGUCGAUCAUCUUGGCCUCCUCUCUCUCGCCCUACUACACUGGAGUCAUUUCCGGUGUUGAUCAUCUCGGCCUCCUCUCUCGUCCACUGCACUGACGAUACCAUGGCGACGACAUUGCAUUCUCCUCCUCUGUCGACUGUCUUUGCGCGAGCACCGCAACUAGUUCGCCGACGGUGUCGCUCGCCAUGCCGCCUACAGGGUCGCUCGUCCACGACUCCAUGCUUGUCAUGUCGGACACGGCGCCACGGCCACUAUCCACCGCAGUCGCCAUGGUCCGGCGCACACUGCAUUUCUUCUCCCACUUCCUCUGCUAUCUCUUAACCCUGUGUGCUAAGUGCAAGUGCUAGCUCUUAAUCAUACCUCAUGCGGGCAACCAAACAGCGUAUAGUUGCAUGCGCCGAGACAAUGCAGGCAACCAAACAACGUGCCAAAGUUGAUCUCCUAAUGCAGGCAAUCCAUAUGCAGGCAACCAAACAACUCGCAGAUGUCGCAUAUGAGGCUGUUUUUCUAGAGCCAGGCCGAGUGGAGAUGUGUAUGCAACGCGGGUACUGUGCGCGACGGCAACCAAACACGCCCUAUGUGUGUGGCCGCAUGCGCUUGGGCCUGCGCUGACACACCAUAUCCCGAUCCGUGCUUCUCCAACCUCUCGCCCAUCAAAGAGAGCAAAGACGCAGAUGCGCACAUGCUGGCCGGGAUGGCGGCCUACAGGUGCACCAGCUUAUAGGCUAGUGUCGAGGAGCUGAAAUUCGAACCGAAAAUGCCGCCCCCACGGCCACGGGCGCAAGCAUCCCCACGCCCUCCGUCCCUCCAAACCCCACCCCACCGCAACCCACUCGGAGCGCGCAACACAAGCGCGGCCGCGGAGCAGAGCGAGCCACCAACCCCGCCCCGCCCCGCCCCGCCCGCCCGAACUCCCCAAACCAAACCCAACCCAGCGGGAGCGCGGUCCGAAACCAAGCAAGCGGAGCAAGGAAGGAAGGAAGCGAGUGGACAAGCAUACCGUGGAGCGCGGAGGCGGCGGCGGGGAGGAGCAGGAGCAGCCGCAGCAGGAGGAAGAGGAGCCCUCCGCGGCGGCCCAUCGCGUCCCGGGUGCCCGGCGCGCGCGCGCUACGCCAUUGCCGUCGCCCGCGAGGCGGAUCUGGGCGGCUCCCGGAUCGGGCGGCGCGGCGUCGGCGGGAGGGUUCGUCUCGGCGAGGCCCGCGGCGAGCGAGGGAGCGAGAGGCGAUGCGAGGGGCGCUGGAGCGGGGGAGGAGGUGGGGGAGGAAGGGAGGGGGAAGGCAAUAAAUUUUGGCCGCUGGGGUGGGCUGGCUCGGCUGGUUUCUUUGCUUAACCUCGGAAGGAAAGGAAAGGAAAGGAAGGUGUUAAUUCCCUCCCUACUGGAGUUCUCUAUAAAGAGAGCAAAGAGAGAAAAGUGUCGUCAAGGGGAACCAAAGAGGACGGUCGACGCCAUCUCGUCGGGCAACCAAGCGGAGAAGUGCAUGGCUGUCCUGGAGGUGCUCCUCGACCAUGCCAGCAAGUAGCAAAAUUAGGACGGCUCUUGUCAAUUAAGCUGGUUUAAUUUCCUUGAUUGAUUCUGUAUGUAUGAGUACGGCUCGGCUGACCGCAAUUUUGUUUUCUCCAUUGGCUUAAUUAAUUCUAUACAUUUGCUGUGCAAAUCGUCGGUUCUCGCUCCGGUGCUUGUAGAGCGCCGCUAGAUGGUCCAUGAAAUGGUUGUAAUUUUUAUUACCUCUGUUGUUCUUUGUACUGUCAUAAUUGAAGAUACAUAGAUUGGAAGCUUCUUGCAAAAAAAAAAAACGUGUUGACAAAAGUAAACGAGGAUACGAACAACCAAAGCAUGGACAACAAACAAACUUGAUAAUUAGAGAUUUCCCUAAUAAGAAAUUGAAACAAAUCGUUGAGAUAUAUAUUCUUAUUAUUAGAACAACUACCGGCGACUUCAAAAGAAUACAACAAAUUAGACCACUAGUCCUGCUCGAACAGGUUGCCGGUUCAAGAUCAAGGAACUCAAUUUGACGGCGACGGAAGGUUAAAGAGGCGCGCGUCGAUGUGGCCUUGGCACUCUUUCUUGCACUCGCCGAUUGAUGCAUAGCACAGAUCCAGCACUAGGCACCAGAAGCAACAAUUGCCCGGUUUGCAGUCUCUAUGAUGAACGCAGAGCCCGCCCGGUAUAUUGAUCUUGUCGUCGCCCGUGCCCUCGAUGAGGCGGCCUGUUGAGCGAGCCACAAAACAGAAAUUUAGGAAGCAAUGGCUUCAUGGCGCAUGUGCUAGCUAGUGCAUGCGACUUACAUUGAGCGUAAAGGGGAAAACACGCGAGAAACAGCAUAGGGAGCAGCAAGGCUGGUGCACGCGUGCGACUCUUGUGCUUGUCCAUGGACCUGAGAUCGAUGAUCUGAUGGAUGCUUGGUUGAUGUGUGUUGUAAAUGGGACAAUAUAUGUGUUCUAAUCAGCUCUACCAUAUGGACCGCGGUCGUCCUCUAUAUGGUGAGAUGGAGACCGCGGCCGAGAAGGACCAAGGAAGAAGAAUGUUUGUUCCUGCCUAUCUGCCCGUAUCAAUUGAAUUAUUUUCUUGUUUCAUCUGUGAUAUUCUCAAUAAAUAGACAAUAUGAAUGUUGGCAAGCAAUUAAAUGGAUAGAUAUUGCAUGCGAGAAGGGUAAUCCAACGCAAUCGGCCGGUUGUUCUCUUCGCUAUGCCCUUAACUCAAGUACCUAAAUAAAUAGAUUUGAUACCCUAACAAAAUAAAAAAUAGAUUUGAUACGACAUGGAAGGACGGAAUUGGUCAAAGAUACAUACUCAAGCCUACCAACAAUUAUACGUAUGCAGCCAAAGCAUUUUUCUUUGGACGUCGAUAAGUACCGUACGUUCGGUCUUGGGGUCUCGCAGACCGAAUGACUCGUUCGUACUGGAUGGUCAAUCGAUCGAACAAAUUUGUUCGGCCCAAAAACCCCUCAGCCCGAACGUUCCACCCCCACACCCGGCA
rnacentral:lncRNA from 1 species